ACCUUGUGCUAUUUCCUGAAAUCUCUCCUGUCACUUCCCUCUAUUCAUUACAGAGCAAAAAUGUGGUUAAACCUUGUCUCUUUACUAGUAGUCCUCAAAGGAGUCCAGUCUCAAGUCCAGUUGGUGGAGUCUGGAGGGGAUGUGAGAAGGCCUGGAGAGUCCCUCCGUCUCUCCUGCCAAGCCUCUGGAUUCACCUUCAGCAGCUAUGACAUGCACUGGGUGAGACAGGCUCCAGGGAAAGGCCUGGAAUGGGUUGCACUCAUCUAUCAUGAUUCCAGUGGAAAGUUCUACUCAGACAAAGUGAAGGGACGGUUCACCAUCUCCAGGGACAAUGCCAAAAACCAGCUGUAUCUGCAAAUGAGCAGCCUCAAAGCUGAAGACACGGCCGUCUAUUACUGUACGAGAGACACAGUGAGAGGAAGUGAA